UGUUAUUCAUCUUUUAUAUUAUAUAGGCUUUUUAGAUAAAUCAAAUGAUGGCAUCACAUGAAGUCAUAAGUUUUUGGUGUCCUUCUUAAAGAUCAGGGUGUGAAAGGUUUCUUCAAGGGUUGACACUAACUCCGCUUGGUUAUAGUGCUCAAGGUGCAUUUAAGUAUGAUUUUUAUGAGUUCUUUAAGAAAUCCUAUUCCGACUUGAUCUGAUUAUGCUUAAUUUAUUGCUGAAAUUGCUCUUUAUCUGAUGGAGGCUGUUAAGGAUCGCAUUCAAACUCAAUUAGGCUUUGCAAGAAGGUUAAGUGAUGGGUUACCUAAGAUUGUCAAAUCCGAAGGGGCUCUCGGACAACUUGGUCUCCUUUCACAACAAGGCCAAGGAGGCUACAAUUGUUAAUCUGUUAACAAGUUAGCUAUCUCGGCUCUCUUUACUCGUGGUCUUCCUCUAUGCAUAGUCAUGAUUGGAACCUUAUCAGGAACAUAGUGGGUAAUCUUUGAUGCAGUCAAAAGUGUUUUUUUACCUGUAAGCAAAUUAAUUUGAUGUUGCUCUCCCUUUAAUAUAAGUUUUUCAUAUUCCUUGCUUUGAUUAUUUAUUUAUUUUUUUAAAUAAAGAAAAUUCCUACUUGUUGACCACCCGCUGACCACCCUAGAAAAAAAAAUCAAAUAAUUUGAAUCAAUUCCUACCAAAGAUUCAUUCAUAUUCUUUCAAAUUCCUCCAUCUUAAAAGAUAAGUUCCUAUGUUUCGGUAAUUCGUUUUUAGCAAAAACUUACUGUUCUUAAAUCUUAAUUUUUGGUGGCAAAACAGGAGUUAUCUUGUAGCCAAAUGAAUAUAUAUUUUAUUUUGAUAUAAUUUUUUUAUUUUUAUAUAAAAAGUUGAUGACUUGGAUGAGGAUAUAUAUUCUAAAUUUUAAUCUGAAUGAUUAAACUAGAGAAGUGCUACCAUAUUAUAGAGAUGUAAUUGUAAAUUUUAGAGAACUUUAGUUAGAUUACCUAUUGUAUGGAUUUAAUAAAA